rnacentral:rRNA from 1 species
UACGUAGGGGGCAAGCGUUGUCCGGAAUUAUUGGGCGUAAAGAGCUCGUAGGUGGUUCGGUAAGUCGGGUGUUAAACCCCCAGGCUCAACCUGGGGACGCCACUCGAUACUGCUGUGACUAGAGUCCGGUAGGGGAGCGUGGAAUUCCUGGUGUAGCGGUGAAAUGCGCAGAUAUCAGGAGGAACACCAGCGGCGAAGGCGGCGCUCUGGGCCGGUACUGACACUGAGGAGCGAAAGCGUGGGUAGCAAACAGG